UGUAUGACUCUUAACAACGGAUAUCUUGGCUCUUGUAUCGAUGAAGAACGUAGCGAAAUGUGAUACGUGGUGUGAAUUGCAGAAUCUCGUGAACCAUUGAAUCUUUGAACGCAAGUUGUGCCCAAUGCCAUCCAUAGGUUGAGGGCUUGCCUGCCUGGGUGUCAAGC
rnacentral:rRNA from 1 species